GACGAACGCUGGCGGCGUGCUUAACACAUGCAAGUCGAACGGUAAGGCCCUUCGGGGUACACGAGUGGCGAACGGGUGAGUAACACGUGGGUGAUCUGCCCUGCACUUCGGGAUAAGCCUGGGAAACUGGGUCUAAUACCGGAUAGGACCCUGGGAUGCAUGUCCUGGGGUGGAAAGCUUUUGCGGUGUGGGAUGGGCCCGCGGCCUAUCAGCUUGUUGGUGGGGUGAUGGCCUACCAAGGCGACGACGAGUAGCCGGCCUGAGAGGGUGACCGGCCACACUGGGACUGAGAUACGGCCCAGACUCCUACGGGAGGCAGCAGUGGGGAAUAUUGCACAAUGGGCGCAAGCCUGAUGCAGCGACGCCGCGUGAGGGAUGACGGCCUUCGGGUUGUAAACCUCUUUCAGCACCGACGAAGCGCAAGUGACGGAAGGUGCAGAAGAAGGACCGGCCAACUACGUGCCAGCCGCCGCAGUAA
rnacentral:rRNA from 1 species